GAAGUUUUUAAUUGCCAAUUAUGUUUUAAAGUACAUUUUGUAUCGAUUUAAAAAAAAAAAUUGUCUUACAUCAGCUUCCUCCAUACCUUGUAUCGUUCUUCGUAACGAAAAAUCCUCUCCUUUUAUGCCUUUCAUUAUGUUAUAUUAUGAAUGAGUUCUUUUAUAUCCUAUAUCAUGUAACUUUACAAUGUUUCUUAUUUAAUACCCUUUACUACAUAACUUUACAUAUAGAUUCUACCACUGUGUUGUGUGUAAUACGAUAUUAAACCAUUCAAGACAGUAAAUUUUCAAAUUUAAAAUGCGAGGCUCGCCGAGCGUUUUAAAUAUAAAGUUCAACUGUGAGAGGAUAAAUCGUGAAAGAUUAAGUUAUACUUUGUACCACGAAACGUUACAAUGGUUUUUUUUCGGUAUAUAUGUUACAGGGAAUUUGUGAAAUCAGGGAUUUUGUAAAAUCACUGAAAUUUCAGGGAAUUUGUAAAAUCACUGAACUGAUUAGUGAUUUUAUAAAAUCCCUGAUUUUGCCUAGUGAUUUUACAAAAUCCCUGAAAUAAUAAAGAUCUUUUUUACAGAUUCACUGAUUAAAUUCAGGGGAUUUAUAAAAUAAACUCAUUCGUUUUAUUAAGAAUUUCUGUGAAAAAAAGACUACAACAUUAACAUUCGAUAAGUUAGAGGUUAAUCUAGCCUUUAUUUUAUAAAUAAAAAGCAAAUAAGUAUUAUUAAUUUGCUGCCUUCAAAAAAACAUUUAUAUUCACAAAAUAUUAAUAUAAAAAAAAGAACAAAAGAAAAUAUAGGUAAGAAUACUUUGUUUUGUACUUGCAUGUUUAUGAAUAGGUUCUAACCAAGCAAAAAUAAAAAAAAGUUUUACCUACUUUGGUCAUAUAUCAGAUACAUGCAUUGUAUCACAAAGUGAUAAACAUUUUGAUAAGUUUCUAAACUUUCUCAAUUAUUUUAAUUCAAAUAAAGUUAAUUUUUGUUUAUAAAUGUAGGUAUGAAGUUCUUCAAUGUGAAGAUUUGAAAAAAUGGUUAAAAACGGUAUUCAUCAGAUGAAGAUGUUUUUAAAAUGCGAUGUAUGUCUUGAAGACACGGACAGCAUAGUUAAGAAAAUUCACAUAUAAAUAGCUUAUUGUGGUAGGGACAAAAUGGUAUUAAAAGUACGCGAAUAGGAAGUGUGCAAAUGUUUCAUACAAAGCUUUAGAACUUUAUAAAGGAACUUUGAGAAGAAUGUCAUCUAAAAAACGUAGAGCUGCUACAGCUAAGUAUUGUCGUUAAGUCUUUAAUAAGCAAAGACAUCAAUUUUCCGAGGACAUGUUCAAACAUGCAUCAAAAAGCAGGGCAAUAAUGUAACAGUAGAUGUCACACAAACUUGUCAUGCAAAAAUUAGAAAAUUCACAGUGGUCUUAAUAUCCUUUUAUAAUGCCUUUUAGUCAUUAUCAUUAUACUCUAGCAUGUCUAGUGUUUAUUAAACAAAUAUAUUUCCAAAUCAUUAGUGAUUAUUGGUCUAUUUUUAUAUUAGAAAAAACACAUUUCUAAUAGCAUGUUAUACUUUAUUGUAAUCAGGGAUUUUACAAAAUGACUAGCUCUAUUUUCAGUGAUUUUGUGAAAUCCCUAACAAUUUCAGGGAUUUAACAAAACCACUAAAGCUGUUAGUGAUUUUAUAAAAUCACUGAUUAGUACAGUGAUUUUACAAAUUCACUGUAACAUAUACAUUGUGUCAUGUUACAUUACAAUGUCUUCUCGUUUUAUACGUGUUGCAGCACAAAGGUUCUAUGUUUUCUCGUUUUAUACCCUGCAUCAUGAAUGUUACAAAAAAAUAAUCAUCCUGAAUACCCAUUAGGAUCAUGUAUGUUUUAAUAAAAGUCAGAAGUUAAAUAAAGGCAUUUAAAACUGCUUAAAAUAUCAUCUUCAUAAGAUAUUCUACAGAACCACAACAUGAGAAUUUACCUUUUUGCAAAACAUUUCGCAUUUCGACUAAGGUUGUAAAAUGGUGAAAAAAUACAACGGUACUCCACUAUUUUAUUAUUAAUAUAUUUUUGUUUGUGUUCAUGCAAUUAUGAUUUUUAUUCAAUUAAGUUUAUUUUGUUGAAGAUACUUUAAUAUAUUUUUUUAAGAAUUACAGCAUAAUAUUGAUGAAAAAUAUUGAGCAUAAUAAAAUUAUAUUUGAAUUGUGAAAUGUUUAUUUGGUCUUGACACGAUUAAGGCGACACACAACUGAUAAAACAACCCGUACGUGCACAUGUUAACUCAGGUCUCUGGGGUUUUUAAAUCCGUUUACCUUCUAGUGUUGAAAAGAGAACUCCCUUGCAAUAUUGUAGUUUUUUGCCAGAUAAGGAACUCGGGUCCCUUGCAGCCUUUUGUAUAUUUAUUUACAAGAAAUUAAAC
rnacentral:lncRNA from 1 species